GAUACAGUGCUAGGCAUGGGAGAAACAAAGAUUAAAUUAUCCCGGUGCUUAAAUAUUGAAGAACCUCUGCUGCUGGCCAAACUCAAGCCCGGGCGCCCCCACCAAUUCGAUUGGAAGUCGAGCUGUGAAACCUGGAGUGUCGUCUUCUCUCCCGAUGGCUCCUGGUUCGCUUGGUCUCAAGGACACUGUAUCAUCAAGCUGAUCCCCUGGCCACUGGAGGAGCAGUUCAUCCCUAAAGGGUUUGAAGCCAAAAGUCGAAGUAGCAAAAAUGAGACCAAAGGACGAGGCAGCCCAAAGGAGAAGACGCUGGACUGUGGGAGGAUUGUCUGGCGGUUGGCCUUCAGCUCAUGGCCAUCGCUACCUAGCAGGAAGCUCUGGGCACGCCACCAUCCCCAAGUGCCAGAUAUCUCCUGCCUGAUCCUUGCUACGGGACUCAACGAUGGGCAGAUCAAGAUUUGGGAGGUGCAGACAGGGCUCCUGCUUUUGAAUCUUACCGGCCACCAGGAUGUCGUGAGAGAUCUGAGCUUCACACCCAGUGGCAGUUUGAUUUUGGUCUCUGCGUCACGGGAUAAGACUCUUCGAAUUUGGGACCUGAAUAAACAUGGUAAACAGAUUCAGGUGUUAUCGGGCCACCUGCAGUGGGUUUACUGCUGUUCCAUUUCGCCAGACUGUAGCAUGUUGUGCUCAGCAGCUGGAGAGAAGUCUGUCUUUCUAUGGAGCAUGCGGUCCUACACGUUAAUCCGGAAGCUAGAAGGCCACCAAAGCAGUGUUGUCUCUUGUAACUUUUCCCCGGACUCAGCCUUGCUUGUCACAGCUUCUUAUGACACCAAUGUGAUUAUGUGGGACCCCUACACUGGCGAAAGGCUGAGGUCACUCCGCCACAGCCCGGUCGACCAUGGCAUGGAAGACAGCGAUGUCCACAUUAGCUCAUAAGAUCCAUGUGCUUCUCUCCAGAGGCUUGUACCUUGCUACGGUGGCAGAUGACAGACUCCUCAGGAUCUGGUCCCUGGAAGUGAAAACUCCAAUUGCAUUUGCUCCUAUGACCAAUGGUCUUUGCUGCACAUUUUUUCCACAUGGUGGAGUUAUUGCCACAGGGACGAGAGAUGGCCAUGUCCAAUUCUGGACAGCUCCUAGGGUCCUAUCCUCACUGAAACACUUAUGCCGGAAAGCCCUUCGAAGUUUCCUAACAACUUACUAAGUCCUAGCACUGCCAAUCUCCAAGAAGAUGAAAGAGUUCCUUACAUACAGGACUUUUUAAGCAACGCUACUUACCUUACUUGUUUUCUUUGUAGCAGGAUAAAUCUUGGCAAAGGAGUAGCUGAAAUAAUGGACCAAACAUUUGGUCAUGG